ensembl:ncRNA F57B1.11 ncRNA
UUAUGUUCUGACAGCUCACGCGUUCCAGAAUAAAUUUCGUUCACAAUUAUUAUUAUUUUAUAUUGUUUUGAAUGAACAAUAUAUUUUGCCACUGGCAAAUUUCUGAAUGAAGGAACACUGAAAACGACGUUUGGAUGCAGACGCCUACAUCGAAUGCUAAUUGCUAUUAUUCGGCUCUCUCUCUCUCUCAAAAACCUUCUUCUGCUGAAUGAUCGCUACGAAGCGAACAAUGCGGAAUUUGAGAUUCUCGGAUGUUUUUUUUG